CUUCAUCCCGGACCUGAUAUGGUGCCUGGAAGCCGCUCUGGCGUGAGAAGAAGGCUGGGAAGUCCCUUGACUCUCCAAAGGCAGCCACACAAACUCCCUGUGUCUCCUGCAGCAGUGGAGGCGAGACCAGCAGCUGUUUCUAACAGAAUGUAAGACUAACCUGAUGUACAAACCUGGUGUGGGUUUUGAACUUUGGUUUCAGUGUUGAACACUGUAUGAAGAAUGCUCUGUGAUGGACACA